UACGUAGGCAGCGAGCGUUGUUCGGAAUUACUGGGCGUAAAGAGUGUGUAGGCGGUGCUCUAAGUUCGGUGUCGAAAUCUCCUGGCUCAACUGGGAGGGUGCGCCGGAAACUGGAGUGCUUGAGCGUGGGAGAGGAAGCGGAAUUCCUGGUGUAGCGGUGAAAUGCGUAGAUAUCAGGAGGAACACCCUGUGGUGUAGACGCUUUCUGGAC
rnacentral:rRNA from 1 species